UCUCUUUUUCAAAAUUAAAAUCCCUCAUCUUUUUCCCCCAUUUCUUUUCCUCUUCCUCCUAUAAAACCCCAUCUCCAUUCAUCUUUUUCCCACAAAGUAUUUCACCCAAAAAUUUCUGGCAUCCUUCCACUGCCAACCUCCGCCGUCAACACUGUGCCGACACCGUUGACGCUGCCUCUCCAUUGACGUCACCCCGCAGCCGCCAACGUCACACUUCCACUGAGGUCAUCACGGCACCGCCGACGUCGCUACGCUACCGCCGUCGCCACACCACUGCCGCCGACGACCCCGUGACGCUACCGAGCCCGAGCCGCCCGCGUCCGCACAGCCCAAGGCCAAAUUUCUCUCCUCAAGUUUCCACUUCGUUCCUUCUUAGAGUCGGGUUCAUCCUAUCCACCAAGGAGCUUCGGCAGAUUCCAUUGAAGUGAUUUCUGCAAUGAAAGAUGAAGCCCAAAGGUAUCAUUUAAUUUGUUUUAUGAGUUAUGCCUUCUAAAUAAUAGCUGCACUAAUGACCAGAAUGAGGUGAUACAAGACGCGGUGUCCAAAGGAGCAGUUUGCUUGGAUGGCCUCCACCUGCCUAUUAUUUUGAUGAGGGCCAAUGGGAUGUAAUUGAUAAAUGGCUGAUAUACUUAGAAGGAAAAUCUAAUGGGAAGGAAAUUGUUUGAGUCGGAGUUUGAGGACUCCGCCAAAACUCUGCAUCCAUUCUGCACUUUGUUAAUGAGGCCAAGUCUGGUUACACAUUGCUCGAGCCAAUAGGUGUCGUCGGACACAUAAUUCCCUGGAAUUUCUCGGCUCAGAUGUUCUCGCUUAAGGUUGCUCCUGCACUGGCCACUGGUUGUACCAUGGUCGUCAAGCCAGCUGAACAGACCAAUCUGUCCGCCCUGUUUUAUGCUCAUCUUUCUAAACUGGCAGGCCAGGGGUCCCUGAUGGAGUGCUGAAUAUUGUGACAGGGUUUGGGCGCACGGCUGGCGCGGCUAUUAGCUCUCACAUGGGCAUUGAUAAGGUUUCUUUUACAGGGUCGACAGAAGUAGGGCGCCUGAUCAUGCAGGCUGCAGCUGCUAGCAACUUAAAACUUGUCUCAUUGGAGCUUGGUGGGAAAUCGCCUUCCAUAGUUUUCGACGAUGUCGAUGUUGAUCAAAUUGCUGGUCUUGCUCUAGCAGCGCAGCUUCCACAUUUAACAAGGGCGAGAUCGUGUGUUUGUGCAGGAGGGGAUUUAUGAUAAAUUUGUGGAGAAAGUGGUGGAGAAAGCAAAAGCCAAAGUGGUUGGAGACCCUUUUGAUCCAAAUUAAUGUUCAGCAGGGAUCCCAAGUUAGCAAAGCCCAUUACGAGAGGGUGCUGUCAUACAUUGAACAUGGCAAGAGGGAAGGGGCAACCUUAGCUUGUUAGCCGGUGGGAAGCCAUUGGAUAGGAAAGGAUACUUCAUCGGGCCCACCAUAUUCGCAGAUAGAUGUCACGGAUGACAUGAUCAUUGCCAAGGAAGAAAUUUUUGGACCUGUUAUGUCUAUACUGAAGUACGUUCAAGUAAGCUCAUCAACCCGAUGACUGCAAUUUUUAUGCAUGCCAUUUUUAGUGAAAAAUAAAAUGAGUUUAUAAUGACACGAAUCUCGGGUCAAAUGCAUGAGCGUGGAGGAGGUGAUCGAGAGGGCGAAUUCGUCAAAGUAUGGAUUAGCAGCCGGGAUCAUGACGAACAACUUGAACUAACAUUGCCAACACAGUGUCGCGGUCAGUGAAAUCAGGGUUAUAUGGAUCAAUUGCUAUUUUGCGUUCGACUCAGAUGCCCCAUUUGGUGGCUACAAAAUGAGUGGAUUCGAUAGAGAAAUGGGAAUGGAAAGUCUUUCUAAGUAUCUUCAAGUGAAGACUAUUGCCACUCCUGUCUAUAACUCUCCGUGGCUGUGAUCCAUCUCCUAUGACAGGACAGGUGAUUUUGAUGUAAUAAUCUGUUUAGUAUCCAUUGCAAUGUUCAGAUUCCAUGUUAGACAACAGCUGUGUUUUUAUUGGCCUGAUUAAUUAUAUUAUAUUACAAAUA